GUCCACCAAGAAGCGCAACAUCCAAAUGCAUCCCAGGUACAAGGAUAUUUCAAGGUCUGAAGACACUCUACUCUCUCCACACUCAAAGACAUGCAAGGCCAGUACAAUUAGAGAUGGAUAUAGCUCGCCUUGAGAAAGAAAUGGAGUUGUAUUCACAGGAAAAGCUUUGUUAAUUAUGAAGCUCAGAUACUAAGGGAUGCUACACUUAUACAGAGUGCUUUUUCUUUCUAUCGAUUGAUGGUGGUGUGGCUAGUUUGCUUGUUUGGCGGAUUUAAAAUGCCUCUGCCCUCAACUUGCCCUACGGAGUUUGCUCCUAUGCCAGAGCAUUUUGUGGAAGAUGCCAUGGAAUUGCUUAUAUUUGCGCCCCGGAUUCCCAAAGCUUUGGAUGGGGUCUUAUUGGAUGAUUUUAUGAAUUACAUUAUAAUGUCCAUGGCAAGUCCAGAAUAUAUCAGGAACCCUUAUCUAAGAGCAAAGAUGGUUGAGGUCCUGAACUGCUGGAUGCCUUGCAGAAGUGGAUCAUCUGUUACGAAGGCAUCAACUGUCUCUUGAGUAUCUUGUGAGGAAUCUCUUGAAGCUAUAUGUCGACAUCGAGUUCACUGGUUCCAGAUUGCUAGGGAAGAGGAGAAGCGUGUUUACUUGAAUUUCUUAAACUCCUUGAUCAAUGAUAGCAUCUAUCUUCUGGAUGAAAUUCUUAGCAAAAUUCUUGAACUCAAACAACUAGAAGCUGAGAUGUCAAACACUGCAGAAUGGGAACGCAACCCUGCUCAAGAGAGGCAGGAGAGGACCCGCCUAUUCCAUUCUCAAGAGAAUGUCAGUUUCAUCUUCCCUCAGCCCAAACAACAACCACCGCAUUGUUAUUUUCAUGAAUUAAGAGUAGCUAACCAAAUGAAUACUUGUGUUUCAAGAUUAUCCGAAUUGAUAUGAAGUUAGCAAAUGAGGAUGUGAGUAUGCUGGCAUUUACUACAGAAGAGAUUACAGCUCCUUUCCUACUUCUAUGCAAUUAUUGUUAUUCUGGUUUCUAGUUGUUUUCCAAGAAUAUCAUUAUGUUUGAAUGGAAGCAAACGGAUGUCAUUGGAUACUUCUCCAGUUGUUUAGUGCUGCAGCGGAUGUCCUAAGGAGAAUUGGAGAAGAUGGGAGGGUCAUACAGGAAUUUAUUGAGCUUGGUGCCAAAGCCAAAGUCGCUGCUUCUGAGGCCAUGGACACUGAAGCUGCUCUCGGGGACACACCAGAUGAAUUCCUUGAUCCAAUUCAAGUAUGUUUUUUGUGUUUGUGGUACACUUUCAUGAAGGAUCCAGUUAUCUUGCCUUCUUCAAGAAUCACGUCGGAUCCGUUCAACUGCUCCCAUCUAACGGCGGACAUGCUAUACCAGCAAUGAAUUGAAGGGAAGAAUACAAGAGUACAUUAGGUCCCAAGAAUUGAAGAUGCGCGGGGAAGACCUAAGCAUGCAGAGCAGCAAGGUAACCAGACAGACCACAACUAGCGAAAUGCUAAUUGAUUAGGAGGAUAUAAGGUUAAUAUAAUAGGGGAUGAUUAAGAUUUAUAGCCUUUGGUGGAAAGUAACAGUGGAGGAAUUCUCCAAUAGGUUAUUCUAACUUUAAUAUAUUAUAAUAUUUUAUUUAG